rnacentral:lncRNA from 10 species
GGGGUGGACACCCUAACUGCUGUUAGGGGUAAUGGGUCAAUGAUUCUUCUAACUACUUCCUGGUGGAGAGGGACGUUGUGUAGGGGACCAGCAUUUAGGGUUUAUCUAUGGAUCCUUGGAAGAAAGACAUCUCCAUCUUGAGCUCAAUUUCUGGUACCAUCUAGAGUUUUAUAGCUUCUAAGUGAGAAGAAACAAUUUGGGUUAUUAGAGGACAUGCACUAAAAUGGAACAAGGGUGAGGGGCCCUCUGUAGCACACAAAAGCCAGGAGCCAGUAGAGACAAUUUUCAAACUGAAAUCAGUCUACUACUCCAUUACAGAGAUAAGAAAGAGUAUGCAUGGAAUACAGAAGAUCCUUGAGGGCAUCUGUUAGUAUUACCACAUCCUGUGAUUAAGGUCAAUGGGAAACUACAACAGCCCAUUACAGGCAGGACUACAAAUUGUACAGACCCUUCAGGAAUGAAGGUUUGGGUCACUCCACCAGGAAAAUAACCAUGACCUGCUGACGUGCUUGCUGAAGGAAAAGGGAAUACAGAAUGGGUAGUGAAGAAGGUAGUUACCAAUACCAGCUAUGACCACAUGACCAGCUGCAGAAACAAGGACUGUAAUUGUCAAAUAUUUUCUCCUUCUUUUGUUAAAAACAUGUUUGUGCAUGUAUACACUUGUACUAAGAAAACAUCUUCUUUCUGUUUCUUCUUCCUUUGUCAUGUGACAUAAGAUUUAUUGACUUCAUAUCAGCAUUUAAGUAUGGUUAACUUUAUGUAAUAGUAUUUGGGUAGGGGAUUGGUGUAUUUCUGGUUCUAUGAAGAAUAGUUGUAUUAUGCUAGGUGUAAUUAUGACCUCAUUAUUGUCUUUAUUUGAAGGUUAUGUAUGAUCCCAGGAAAUGUGUAUGGGUUCAAGUUGACAAGGGGUGGGCUUGUUAUGGUUAAUACUGAGUGACAACUUGAUUGGAUUGAAGGAUACAAAGUAUUAAUCUUGGGUAUGUCUGUGUGGGUGUUACCAAAAGAGAUUAACGUUUGAGUCAGUGGAUUGGGGAAGGCAGAUCCACUGUUAAUCUGGUGGGCACAAUCUAAUCAGCUUUCAGUGAAUAUAAAGCGGCAGAAAAACAUGAAAAGGAGAGAUGGGCCUAGCAUCUCAGUCUACAUCUUUCUCCCAGGCUGGAUGCUUCCUGCCCUUGAACAUCAAGCUCCAAGUUCCUCAGUUUUGGAACUCAGACUAGCUCUUUUUGCUCCGCAGCUUGCAGAUGGCCUAUUGUGGGACCUUGUGAUCAUGUAAUUUAAUACUUAAUAAACUCCACUUUAUAUAUAUAUAA